CGUAUGUAUGUUAGAAAUGCCUUCAGUUAUGGCAAGACUGCUCCCACAAUAUCUGGAAAAGCUUACUAAACUUUCGCCAACGUCUCAAGUUGCCAUACCACUGCUAGAAUUUCCCUCUGAUACUCUCAAUACACUGUAGCUCUUGCUGAUAAGUCAUUCCAUCCUGGUUUGUCAACUGUCCGCUAUUGUUAAGAAAACAAUUCGUGCCAUUUAUUA